UGGGGAAUCUUGCGCAAUGGGCGAAAGCCUGACGCAGCAACGCCGCGUGGGGGACGAAGGCUCUCGGGUUGUAAACCCCUUUCAGGAGGGACGAAAAUGACGGUACCUCCAGAAGAAGCCCCGGCCAACUACGUGCCAGCAGCCGCGGUAACACGUAGGGGGCGAGCGUUGUCCGGAUUUAUUGGGCGUAAAGAGCUCGUAGGCGGCUCGGUAAGUCGGGUGUGAAAUUUCGAGGCUCAACCUCGAGACGCCACCCGAUACUGCUGUGGCUAGAGUCCGGUAGGGGAGCGUGGAAUUCCUGGUGUAGCGGUGAAAUGCGCAGAUAUCAGGAGGAACACCAGCGGCGAAGGCGGCGCUCUGGGCCGGUACUGACGCUGAGGAGCGAAAGCGUGGGGAUCAAACAGGAUUAGAUACCCCUGUAGUCC
rnacentral:rRNA from 1 species